CAACUUUUAACAACGGAUCUCUUGGCUCUCGCAUCGAUGAAGAACGCAGCGAAAUGCGAUACGUAAUGUGAAUUGCAGAAUUCAGUGAAUCAUCGAAUCUUUGAACGCACCUUGCACUCUCUGGUAUUCCGGAGAGUACGCCUGUUCGAGUGUCAUA
rnacentral:rRNA from 1 species